rnacentral:lncRNA from 1 species
GCAUGACUUUUCAGGGUAGGUGCAAAAAUUCUCAGGGGAGGUGCAAAACGAUCUCAGGGGAGGUGCAAAACGAUCUCAGGGGAGGUGCGCACCUCCCCACACCUCCCCUCAAAAUCCGACCAUGUCGUAGAUAUUUGACGUCAAUUUCCGCCAUCUAGGCUUCAUUUUUCUCAUGGGCCGAAUGACUGAAGUUCUUGCUCAAAAUAUAUAAAAGUCCACUGGUUUAACAUACACAUACUUGGAGGAUUACAGUAUCCCUCACCUUGAUUUGUGCCAUACGUGUGAUCAUUGCUGGGUCCAGUUCCCGAGCUACCAGUUCUUCCACUUGAUCUUGUCCAAUCAAAGUUAUCUCCAGCGAUAUUUCUCCAACCACACAUGCUGGGAUCGUCAAAUGUACAAAGGGCCUGGGGAGGACAUUGACCAUCUUGGACGCUGACAUCGUCCAGGGCCAUGUCACCUUUGUAACUCUUGCCUCGGACGCCUUCGAAUACGAUCUGAAAAUAAGGAAAAUUCCGAUAAUUUUAGAUAGAUUUAAAUCACUUAUCCAGGUAUUCUAGAUUUUUCC